rnacentral:rRNA from 1 species
CCUACGGGAGGCAGCAGUGGGGAAUAUUGCACAAUGGGGGAAACCCUGAUGCAGCGACGCCGCGUGAGUGAAGAAGUAAUUCGUUAUGUAAAGCUCUAUCAGCAGGGAAGAAAAUGACGGUACCUGAGUAAGAAGCCCCGGCUAACUACGUUCCAGCAGCCGCGGUAAUACGUAGGGGGCAAGCGUUAUCCGGAUUUACUGGGUGUAAAGGGAGCGUAGACGGCAGUGCAAGUCUGGAGUGAAAGGCGGGGGCUCAACCCCCGGACUGCUCUGGAAACUGUACGGCUGGAGUGCAGGAGAGGUAAGUGGAAUUCCUAGUGUAGCGGUGAAAUGCGGAGAUAUUAGGAGGAACACCAGUGGCGAAGGCGGCUUACUGGACUGUAACUGACGUUGAGGCUCGAAAGCGUGGGGAGCAAACAGGAUUAGAUACCCCAGUAGUC